ensembl:ncRNA asRNA:CR45175 antisense RNA:CR45175
ACAAACACAUGUCCGUACUAUUUACUGAUUACUGAUUCAUUUCAAGUCCGUCAGGCUGUUCACGAUCGACGGCAACAGAUCUCCCAACUUGGGCAGGUACACGUCUGGUAUGAGCUUCUUCUCCUCGGGAUCCUGGCUCAACUUCCAACGCUCCACGUCCUUCAGCUGAUGGAUUCCGGAACCUACAAGCAGGGUCUGGAAGCCGCAAUUGAACCCAAGAAGUAUGUCCGUAUUGGCUCGAUCUCCGAUCAUCAGAGUUCUCGAUGGAUCGAUCUUCUUCUCCGUGACCAGAGACUCACAAAUGGCAGGAUUCGGCUUCCCGAUCACUACAGGAUCCCGCUCCGCACAGGUUUGAAUGGCCCGCACGAAGCUCCCGCUGCCUGGUACUAUCAUAUUGGGCAUGGGGAAACGCUCAUCCGUAUUGGUAGCCACGAACAGACACUCCGGGUCGUUUAGGUAGGAAGCGGCCUUCAUCAUCUUGGGAAAACUGAAGUGUUCGUCGAAGCCAACGACCACGGCUCCGAUGUCCGUGUCCAGUUUUAAAUGCUGUGCCAUGAACUCGGCCAGCGAUCCCUUCAUGGGUUCCGGGCCCACCUCAGUGUGCUGAAUGCCCACGGCGUCCAGUUCCUUGGUACGCAGCUGUGGCAUGGGCCGUUGAUAUAAUGCCAUUCUCCUUGAUAUGAAAGCCCAGUUCGACGCCUUUCUUGAGAAGUUCCGACCGGGUCUUCGUCGAGUUGUUAGUGCAAAAGUAGAUCGACUUUCCCAUACCCUUCAACUGGUUCAUCACAUCCACAGAGCCCUCCAGGGCCUGGCCAUAGAUCCAAAGGACACCUGAUGUGAAAAAAUGGAUUAAUAUUGUAGAAGAAUUUUCUU